GUCACUUCAUUCUCCAAAGUCCAGUUGAAAGAAAGCAUUAUGAGGAGUCACCUGAAGGAUGUGCUCUCCUCCAUUUGUUUUAUCAUGUUCAGGACCUCUAGAGUGUUAACGCUCAUGGAGUGGUAGGAAGACCCUGCGGGCCUACCUUUGUGUUUGCUGUGGUAAUGAAGUCCUGGUCUCCGUGUUAACUCCAGCUGGAAGUAGUUCAGUGCCAGGGAUGUGUACCAACUAUUGCACCUCAGAAAAUUUCCAGGAAUGAAGGAAAAUUCAGGAGAAGGAUGCCAGAAAAAAGUUGUGAAUAAUACAGUAUAACCAAUGACCACUGGGAGUCUUUUACAUGCUACUGCAAGAUAGAUAAUUAACCUAGAGAGAAAGCCCAUUUUCUUCAGGGGAAAUGAGAAGAUGUCUAUCUUCAGUGUCUGAAAUGAAGGCACACUAAGAAGAGCAAGAAAGUUCAACUCUGAAGAGCCAAAAGAAAAGAGCCAGGAAUUUCGAGAUCAAGGCACAGGUUCCCCUCAUGCUUCCACCUGAUGGUGCAGUGUCACCCCUGCAGCUGCACUCUGCUGAUCUGAAAGUUUCCCUACCCAAUGGAGAGACACUGCCACUGAGUCACAUAAUAAAAAUC